GACAGAGGUGCCAAGCGUUAGGCGGAAUCACUGGGCUUAAAGCGUGUGUAGGCGGGUGCCUAAGUACCUUGUGAAAUCCCACGGCUCAACCGUGGAACUGCUGGGUAUACUGGGUGCCUUGGGUCAUCUAGGGGCUGCCGGAGCAAAUGGUGGAGCGGUGAAAUGCGUAGAUAUCAUUGGAACGCCAACGGCGAAAGCAGGCAGCUGGGGAUGCACCGACGCUGAGACACGAAAGCCAGGGGAGCGAACGGG
rnacentral:rRNA from 1 species